CGGGAUAGCUCAGUAAGUAGAGCAGAGCAAAGGGAUUUAAAUUUUU
rnacentral:tRNA from 1 species